GCCUGGACCCCACUGCGCGUCUAGAGGCCCGGAGGAGGGGCGGCCCUGAAGCCCGGCCACGCCCCCGAGGCGCCCCGGACGCUGGACACGCCCCCGAGGGCACCCGGAGACCGGCCACCGCCCCGUGGGCUCUUGUAACUGCGCCCAUGGGGUCCAUGGGGGACACCUCUGCAUACCGGCCCAGCCCGUCUCUUUGGGCCAGUGGGUUUCCCCUCUCCCUGAUUUCUCCAGAAGGGCCACCACCCUGAGGGUUCCAGGAGGCCGACGGCCCCCCAGCUUCCUGAAGGCGGGCCGCCCCUCUUCGGCCUGCCGGAAACUGACAGGCUGCUGCCUCGGUCGCCUGGAGGCUGGACCCCCGAGAUUAACUGGCGACUGGCCACACACCCUCUGCAUUUCCCUGGAGACUGGAAACGCGUCCCUUCGAGCAGCUGCACACCGGGCCCCUCCCCAUGACCUGGGGAGAAAACGCAAACCUCAGGGUUUCCAGGUGACGGCGCGCCCCACCCCGCGGCCUGAGAGUCUCCUGAAGUUUCCAGGGCUUUUCCUCCACAGAAUCUCUGCCCACCAAGCUGUCGCCAUAACGACGUCAACAUCGUCCCCAUGGCAACCGACCUCCCAGUUCUCAGGAACUUCUCGCCAGGGGCCGGAUGGCCGCCCCUUCGCCAGAUGGGCCCCCCCUUCGCCAGAUGGGCCCCCCCUUCGCCAGAUGGGCCCCCCCUUCGCCAGAUGGGCCCAGGCUCAGCACCCCAGGCAAGGCUGGACUUCCGGAGCCGCUGGCACCCUCCGUUUGCACGCUAACUAUACGCCCGGCAGCUGCUGUGCACGCGCCACCCAGGCACUUUGAUUUCCGCCUACGGGCCGGACUCAAGCUGUAGUGUGCUCCCCGCGUUUGAACUGCUCGGGCUCUGAGGCCCCGCCCACCUCUCGGGCCCCGCCCACCUCUCCCGGGUUGGGGGCCCUCGAGCCCAGCUCCCCAGGAGCGCGGUUUGUGCAGUGAGGUCGGAGGUCAGGAGCCGGGCGGCCCUCCCCCGGACAGCUUCCUCCUGGCCCCCGGGGCGGGAGGCCCCUGCUCUGAGGUCCUGCCUGGAACCCUCGCCGCUGUUCCUGUCUCGGGGAGCGCCUCUGAGCUAGGCCAUCGGGGAACGUGGGUUCGGACCCGCUCUUGUUCUUGCUCACUGUGUGACCAAGCGACGGAUCCCCUCUGCGCCUGUUUCCUUCAGCGUCCAGGGUUGUUCUGAGGUCCCCUCGAGCGCAGUGCGUACAGCAGGAGUUCAAUAAAUCUUUGAUUCUUUUAAUGAAUAAGAAAAAAAGUUUGAUGAACAAAAUGUUUUGGGGCUGGGCGCGUGGGUUUGAGCGCGUGGGGAAACCUCUCCCCUCAUCCUUCAGGUUCCACACUGCCAGUCCCUCACCCUCAGUUCCUCUUGUGUAUCCCAGGCCGUCCUCACACUCGAAAUCCUCCUGCCUCGGCCUCACAGCGCUGGGAGAGGUGGUCCGCUACGCCUGGCUUAGCUCUGUCCUGAUUGGGUCCUUGAGAAUACCCGCCUUCCCCGCCUCAUCUGGGGCAGGAGUCCGGCUGCUCGGACUGGCGGCUUCAGCCCAAUGAGUGCUUG
rnacentral:lncRNA from 1 species